rnacentral:rRNA from 1 species
AUGGCUGACGGGGACUCGGCGGCGGCCUACGCGUCGCCGCGCUCGCCGCUGCCCCCGGAGACGCCGUCCACGCAGAAGCGGCGGCAGCGCGGCCUCGUCUCGCGGGUCUGGAAGGGCAUCUUCGGCCGCCGCGAGGACGUCGAGAAGCUGCUGCAAGCGCUCUCCAAGGAGGAGGAGGCCCUCCGCUCCCGCGUCCACCGUCGCGCCCGCGCCUCCCGCGCCUCCGCCCACAACGUCCUCGCCCUCGCCUCCGCCCUCGAGAUCGCGGCUGUUGGAUAUGCGAUUAUGACUACCAGAUCCCCAGACAUCCCCUGGCAGAUGAGGGCAGCCCGGGUGCUGCCCAUGUUCUUGGUUCCUGCUUUAGCUGCUCUCAUCUACUCAGCUAUUACAAGCAUUGCGAAAUUCCUUGAUAAUAGAGAUCAACAUACUCUUGAAAAGCUUCGUGCUGAAAGGCAGGCCAAGAUUGAUGAGUUGAAAGAAAGAACAAACUACUACACUACCCAGCAACUUAUACAGAGAUAUGAUCUUGACCCUGCUGCAAAGGCAGCUGCAGCAAGUGUUUUGGCAUCUAAGCUGGGUGCGGAUUCUGGAUUGAGAGUCUUUUUGGGAGAUGAGUCGAACGUGGAUGGAAGUAAAAGUAAUGAUCAGCACGGACAGACUUCUGGUCUGAGGCAAAGAAAACCGGCCCACUCAGGCCAUGGCUCUGGACCGACCCAUCCCUCUGAGCCAUCAGACGGCUCGAGUAUAUAUGACGGUAACGAAAGCCCCACUGCAAAUCGGACUGUUGAGCACUUCAGAGGCCAUGCUGGCAAUGAUGGCGGAUGGCUCGCACGAGUGGCCGCUCUGCUUGUAGGGGAGGAUCCAACACAAUGCUUUGCGCUGAUAUGUGGCAACUGCCAUAUGCAUAAUGGUCUUGCAAGGAAAGAGGACUUUGCGUUCGUUACGUACUACUGUCCUCACUGCAAUGCUCUCAACGGACCGCGGCAACACGAGGACGGUGAAAGCGUCCAAGCCGGCGCCAGCCUUGCGGACUCAGGCGUCAGCAGUCCUGUUGGGAGGAGCUUGCCGACCGUCGAAGAACAGCCUGCAGAAAGUCCUGCUGCCAGUAACUCAACGGUCACCGAAAAACCUCAGGCGGAGAGUUCUGCUGCUACAAAUAGCUCAUCACCAACUGUGGAGAAGGCAGGCAGCGAUCAGCCUGCCGGAUGA